UACGGAGGGUGCUAGCGUUGCUCGGAAUCACUGGGCGUAAAGCGCGUGUAGGCGGUUUCGUGUGUCUGACGUGAAAGCCCCGGGCUCAACCCGGGAAGAGCGUUGGAAACUGCGGAACUAGAGUCCCGGAGAGGGAGGUGGAAUUCCAGGUGUAGCGGUGAAAUGCGUAGAUAUCUGGAAGAACACCGGUGGCGAAGGCGGCCUCCUGGACGGUGACUGACGCUGAGACGCGAAAGCGUGGGGAGCAAACAGG
rnacentral:rRNA from 1 species